CGCUCUUUGUAAAGAAUCUUAAGUAUAAGGAGUCCUGCCUGCCCGGUGACUAUUUUAGUUAAACGGCCGCGGUAUCUUGACCGUGCGAAGGUAGCAUAAUCAUUUGCCUUUUAAAUUAGGGCUGGAAUGAAUGGCAAGACGGGAAUUAAGCUGUCUCUCUCUUAUAAUUUGAAAUUAAUGUUUUUGUGAAGAAACAGAAAUGUGGUCGUAGGACGAGAAGACCCUAUCGAGCUUUAAUAUAAGAAAAUGUAAUAUAUUUAUUAUUGUUUUAUGCUAAUUAGGAAUUAAUAAUUUUUAUGCAAUUACUAUAAGUACAAUAAUGUUGUGCAUGUUUUAUUUGGAUUGGGGCAAUCACGGAGAAUAAUUACCCUCCGUUGUUUUUUUUAAAAAAAAUCUUUUUAUAUUUGAGAGUUUCAAUUGAAGUGAUCCACUAGAAGAGGUGAUAAGAAGAAUAAGUUACCGUAGGGAUAACAGCGUAAUUCUUUUGGAGAGUUCAUAUUGAUAAAAGAGUUUGCGACCUCGAUGUUGGAUCGGGAUUUCCUGGGGAUGCAGCAGUUCCCGACGGUUGGUCUGUUCGACCAUUAAAAUCCUACG
rnacentral:rRNA from 1 species